GGGCUACAGCUCAGUGGCAAAGCAUCAGCCUUGCAUACAGAAGGCGCCGGGUUCAAUCCCCAGCAUCUCCC